UACGGGGGGGGCAAGCGUUGUUCGGAAUUACUGGGCGUAAAGGGCUCGUAGGCGGCCAACUAAGUCAGACGUGAAAUCCCUCGGCUUAACCGGGGAACUGCGUCUGAUACUGGAUGGCUUGAAUCCGGGAGAGGGAUGCGGAAUUCCAGGUGUAGCGGUGAAAUGCGUAGAUAUCUGGAGGAACACCGGUGGCGAAGGCGGCAUCCUGGACCGGCAUUGACACUGAGGCGCGAAAGCCAGGGGAGCAAACGGG
rnacentral:rRNA from 1 species